ACUCCGGUUGAUCCUGCCGGACCCGACUGCUAUCGGAUUGGGAUUUAGCCAUGUUAGUUGUGCGUCCCUUGGCUACAGGGGACGCGGCGUACGGCUCAGUAACACGUAGUCAACCUGCCCUGGAGAUGCGGACAAACCCGGGAAACUGGGGCCUAUCCGCGAUAGAUGGCCUCAUCUGGAAGGAGAGGCCGUCCAAAAGGGCGCACGGGUAUGCUCUGUGCGAACCGCUCCAGGAU
rnacentral:rRNA from 1 species